GCGGGAGGGGACCGCGGCGGGACACCCGGGCCGGGAGCCCGCGGGCAGCCACCGCAGCCGCCGCUCAGGGCCGCCACCACGGGGUGCGGAAUGAGCCUCACCCGGAAAAGGGGUUUCUACAAGCAGGACAUCAACAAGACCGCCUGGGAGCUGCCCAAGACCUACCUGGAGCCGGCGCACGUCGGCAGCGGGGCCUACGGAGCUGUGUGUUCGGCCAUCGACAAGCGGACAGGGGAGAAGGUGGCCAUCAAGAAGCUGAGCCGGCCCUUCCAGUCGGAGAUCUUUGCCAAGCGCGCUUACCGCGAGCUCCUACUGCUGAAGCAUAUGCACCAUGAAAACGUCAUUGGGCUCCUGGAUGUCUUCACUCCCGCCUCUUCCCUUCGAAACUUCCACGAUUUCUACCUGGUGAUGCCCUUCAUGCAGACAGAUCUGCAGAAGAUCAUGGGGAUGGAGUUCAGUGAGGACAAAGUCCAGUACCUGGUAUACCAGAUGCUCAAAGGUCUGAAGUACAUCCACUCAGCUGGUGUCGUCCACAGGGACCUGAAGCCAGGCAACCUGGCAGUGAACGAAGACUGUGAGCUAAAGAUCCUGGACUUUGGGCUGGCGCGCCAUGCAGACCCUGAGAUGACCGGCUACGUGGUGACCCGCUGGUACCGGGCCCCUGAGGUGAUUCUCAGCUGGAUGCAUUACAACCAGACAGUGGAUAUCUGGUCCGUUGGCUGCAUCAUGGCGGAAAUGCUGACGGGAAAGACCCUAUUCAAGGGGAAGGACUACCUGGACCAGCUGACCCAGAUCCUCAAAGUCACCGGGGUGCCAGGAGCUGAGUUUGUGCAGAAGUUGAAGGACAAGGCGGCCAAAUCCUACAUCCAGUCCCUACCCCAGAGCCCCAAGAAGGAUUUCACCCAGCUCUUCCCACGGGCCAGCCCCCAAGCUGCGGACCUGCUGGACAAGAUGCUGGAACUGGAUGUGGACAAGCGUCUGACAGCUGCUCAGGCGCUUGCUCACCCCUUCUUUGAGCCCUUCCGGGACCCCGAGGAGGAGACGGAGGCCCAGCAGCCAUUUGACGAUGCCUUGGAACAUGAGAAGCUCACCGUGGAUGAAUGGAAACAUUAUAUCUAUGGAAGUCUCUCUUAGUGUCUGCAUUGUUGUCUAAGUUCUCUGGGACCCACAUCAAUUAUUCAUCAAAAAAAUGGGGGUUAUGGAGAGAUGGACCCAUGGCAUUGGCUGCUCUUCCAGAGAACCUGGGUUCAGUUCCCAGCACCCACAUGGCAGCGCACAGCUGUCUGCAACUCCAGUUCCAGAGGAUCUAAUGCCUUCUUCUGUUAGGCUUCUGGAAGUCCCAGACUUGCACGUGGUACACAGACACACAUACAGUGACUGACUCAGGAAUGAACACAUCAUCCAUUCUAGACAGAGAGAUGUUAAAGGAAUUCUUCUAGAAGCUUUUAGGUGAUGUCACCUGAACCUUAAAACUACUCCUACCCUGGGAGCUGAUGGAGACAUUCUUCCUCCUGUAGACAUUAUGAUAACUAAGUCAUUAUCGGUGACUUCGUUAGUCAUUUGUGACAAGGGAGGCAUCCCUGAGAGGAAGGCCACCCAGCAGAGAGGCUGGAAAGCCGUGUGAAGAACUACUUGGCUAACGCUAGAGAGGCGCCUCAGCAUUAAGAGGAUCCAGGCUCAACUCCCAGUACACAUGUGGUAGCUCACCUCUGCCUGCAACUCCAGUACCAGGGGAACCACUUACCCUCUUCUACACACAUGACCUGGGGAAACUCGGUCUGAGCCACUGGGCAAGGAAGCUGCCUCCCAGAGUGUAGUCAUUCCUGAAAACACAACAGGUCUGGGAACGAGUGACUCAUACCUCCUCCACUCCAGUCCAACGCUGGCCUCAGCGCCGGGACGGCACGCAGAAAGCCCUAGGGAGAAGAGCUGGGACAACACCUUGUGUGGCUGGGGCUGGGGCACUGGCAUUCAGGGAGCAUCGAGAGCUCUGAGUCACAAAGCAAUGAAGGCAGGACUGCAGCUGCCUCUGUAAUUAGAGUCGAUCGCCACGGAGACAAAGGGACGGAGAGGGACAUCACCUUUCAGGGGUGACCCUAAUGACUGUACUCACCAAUAAGUGCCUCUUGCCUCCAUGACCUGGGCUCCCCUGCUGGAGACCCAGGGGGUACUGCCUCUAGAAAAAGAUGGAGUAGUGUUUUCCCUGCUGGUCACUGUGAGUCUUCAAUUCUUUAUUAGAUUUUUGUUUUGUUUUGUUCUUUUGGUUUUGGUUUUUCGAGACAGGAUUUCUUUGUUUCUCUGUGUAGCUUUGUCUGUCCUGGAACUCGCUCUUUAGACCAGGCUGGCCUUGAACUCUCAGAGAUCCACCUGCUUCUGCCUGCCUCCCAAGUGCUGGGAUUAAAGAUGCAUGCCACCACC